AUUUCAUUUUCUAAAUCUUAUUAAGCCUCCAUCUGAUUUACAACGUCAAAGGACGGUUAAAGAAAGGCGGUAGAGGACGGUAAAGAAAGGCGGUAGAGGACGGUAAAGAAAGGCGGUAGAGGACGGUAAAGAAAGGCGGUAGAGGACGGUAAAGAAAGGCGGUAGAGGACGGUAGAGGACGGUAAAGAAAGCCGGUAGAGGACGGUGAAGAAAGGCGGUAGAGGACGGUGAAGAAAGGCGGUAGAGGACGGUGAAGAAAGGCGGUAGAGGACGGUGAAGAAAGGCGGUAGAGGACGGUGAAGAAAGGCGGUAGAGGACGGUGAAGAAAGGCGGUAGAGGACGGUAAAGAAAGGCGGUAGAGGACGGUGAAGAAAGGCGGUAGAGGACGGUGAAGAAAGACGGUAGGGGACGGUAAAGAAAGGCGGUAGAAGGCGGUAGAGGACAGACGGUAAAGAAAGGCGGUAGAGGACAGACGGUAAAGAAAGGCGGUAGAGGACGGUGAAGAAAGGUGGUAGAGGACGGUGAAGAAAGGCGGUAGAGGACGGUAAAGAAAGGCGGUAGAGGACGGUAAAGAAAGGCGGUAGAGGACGGUAAAGAAAGGCAGUAGAGGACGGUGAAGAAAGACGGUAGGGGACGGUGAAGAAAGACGGUAGGGGACGGUAAAGAAAGGCAGUAGAGGACGGUAAAGAAAGGCAGUAGAGGACGGUGAAGAAAGACGGUAGGGGACGGUAAAGAAAGGCGGUAGAGGACGGUAAAGAAAGGCGGUAGAAGGCGGUAGAGGACAGACGGUAAAGAAAGGCGGUAGAGGACAGACGGUAAAGAAAGGCGGUAGAGGACAGACGGUAAAGAAAGGCGGUAGAGGACAGACGGUAAAGAAAGGCGGUAGAGGACAGACGGUAAAGAAAGGUGGUAGAGGACGGUAAAGAAAGCCGGUAGAGGACGGUAAAGAAAGGCGGUAGAGGACGGUAAAGAAAGGCGGUAGAGGACGGUAAAGAAAGGCGGUAGAGGACGGUAAAGAAAGGCGGUAGAGGACGGUAAAGAAAGGCGGUAGAGGACGGUAAAGAAAGGCGGUAGAGGAUGGUAAAGAAAGGCGGUAGAGGACAGACGGUAAAGAAAGGCGGUAGAGGUCAGACGGUAAAGAAAGGCGGUAGAGGACGGGUAAAGAAAGCCGGUAGAGGACAGACGGUAAAGAAAGGCGGUAGAGGACGGUGAAGAAAGGCGGUAGAGGACAGACGGUAAAGAAAGGCGGUAGAGGAUGGUAAAGAAAGGCGGUAGAGGACGGUGAAGAAAGGCGGUAGAGGACAGACGGUAAAGAAAGGCGGUAGAGGACGGUAAAGAAAGCCGGUAGAGGACGGUAAAGAAAGGCGGUAGAGGACGGGUAAAGAAAGCCGGUAGAGGACAGACGGUAAAGAAAGGCGGUAGAGGAUGGUAAAGAAAGCCGGUAGAGGACGGUGAAGAAAGCCGGUAGAGGACAGACGGUAAAGAAAGGCGGUAGAGGAUGGUAAAGAAAGCCGGUAGAGGACGGUAAAGGAAGCCGGUAGAGGACGGUAAAGAAAGCCGGUAGAAGAUGGUAAAGAAAGCCGGUAAAGGACGGGUAAAGAAACACGUGGGAUUUGUUGACAACCAGAUUGUGAAGACGUUGGAUUCACCUCCCGGUCAUGCUGGUUGUUGUUUGUGGUGUUUUUACUGGUUUACAAGCCAGUCCAGCAGAAACCAGACUGGUUCUGGUCCACAUCAGCUCAGCAGAGACCCGCCGGUGUGUUGACAGUUUAGACGUCUCCGUGACCCAGAUUCACCUAAUGCUACCAGAGCUGGAUUACAUCCAGGAUUUAGACUGUAGAUUAAACCACAGACACAACAACCACCUGUGAGACGUCUGUUCAGGCUCAUCAUGACACGCUGCUGCUUUGUUUACUAUAUCAUCUGACCAACUCACUUUCAGACUGCUUCAAACUGACAAAGUCACAUAUAUGUUGUGUUUUAUAAGUAUAUUAACGUAUUGUUAAUAAACUCAAACACAGUGUGAGGACGGAGUUUGUGUUUCUGAUGUUAA